rnacentral:miRNA from 1 species
CUGAAAAUGUUGCCUGAAG